AUAUAUACUGGAAUACAAAUGUGCCGAGAUAAGGUAUUCUUGCUCAUUAACCAUCAUGGGAUCUUUUCUGAAUCUCGCAAUUUUGGUGACACACCCUGCAACAGCAUUUUUGUUGUUAUGGCUGUUUUUACUUUGGUUUAGAAGGCAACCCAGCUAAGAAAUAGAGUUUCAGAGACAUGAAGAGUGUGAAGUGAAUAACCUGCUAUGUGUAUGUACAUGUACCAGAUCUGCUUGAUGAAAGGCCUUACUAAAUUCAUCACCCAUAUGAUAAGCAUCAGGAAAUUUAUCUCAACAUAUUGAGUAAUGCUGUUGGUUGCUAUGGAUUCCAUUUUUAUGGUUUUUAUCAUGGACAUUUCAGUGUUCUUCUUAGAAAAGAGCACGCAGUUUAUUUAUGGAAUCGUAUGGUCCUGGCACGGAGAUUCUUGUUCCAAUGCUGACCUUUGCCCAUGACGGAAGAGGGACUUCCACCAACGUCCAUCCUUAUCUUCGCGACGAACGCUCAUCUAGCUUCACUGCUUCUAAACAAAAUUUGUUUUACUUCACUGGCGACUUGGCGAGUUUCUUGACCACUUCAUGAUCGCUUCCGUCCGCUGUUACACACCUGUAAUCAUUUACCACGGAAUUAUGCCCAGGUAAUGCAGAGGAGACGUCGAGAAGAUGGA